rnacentral:rRNA from 1 species
AUAGAUUGUUACAUCCACUAUCCGCCAGGGUANUACGAGCAUCAGCUUAAAACCCAAAGGACUUGGCGGUGCUUAAGAUCCACCUAGAGGAGCCUGUUCUAGAACCGAUAAUCCCCGUUCAACCUCACCCUUUCUUGUUCUUCCAGCCUAUAUACCNCCGUCGUCAGCUUACCUUGUGAAAGACCAACAGUAAGCAAAAAUGGCACAGCCCAAAACGUCAGGUCGAGGUGUAGCAUAUGAAAGGGGAAGAAAUGGGCUACAUUUUCUAAAAUAGAAAAUCACGGAUAACACAUUGAAACAUGUAUUUGAAGGAGGAUUUAGCAGUAAGUUAAAAUAGAGUGUUCACCGACCGUCGCCUCUGCAUCCAGGNCC